rnacentral:tRNA from 1 species
UAGGAAAUGGUGUAGUGGAAGCACGAAGAGUUUUGAUCUCUUAGGGGGAGGUUCAAAUCCUCUUUUUCUA